AAAAAGGCUCUUUUCAGAGCCACCCACAACGGUCAUAAAGGGUUG
rfam:Tauraco erythrolophus contig13734, whole genome shotgun sequence.